UUGGGAAACCAUUUUUUUAUUCUCUUGCACUUCCCCUCUUAACUUUUGUACUUCUUCCAUUGAUUCCGAGUUAUAACACACACAACUUUCAGAUGGGAUCAAUCCUAGCCCUCCCACUCGGCCACCAUACUUUUUUCUUAUAACUUCGAUAUAAAUUUUGUUUUCCAUUGCAAUCACAUCCUCUCGAGAAGAUUCAGAUGUUCCCGAGCAAUUAGCCAAUUUGUCUUUAGCAUCAACCUAUACAAUAAGUUUUGUUAGCACAUUUAUAGAAAGCAUCAACUUAUGAAAGAUAAAAUGACACGAGCAGCAUUCCUACAAACCCAUAGUCCCAAAAUAUGAAACAAUAACAAAAAGAAAAUAGUUUGCUCCACGAGUCCCAGCAAAUAUUCAAACAGUUGAUAUAGGCUACCAGAGAUACACAAUUCAACUUAGACUUUCAACAUUUUCCUUUCAGAAUCAUUUAAACAGAGAGAUGAAAACAUUAAAGGAUCACUUUCUAACUUCACAAUGCAUGCGCAUCGCAUGAAUUAUCAAAAUUACACAUUACCUUUUAAAGAUAUACUACAAAUUUAUAUAGAAAUUAUACGGACAUUACAUGAUAACAACAUUUAGGUUAAAAUGAGAGGUGCAACAUCAUAGCCAGUUUGGCACACUAUUAUUUACUCAUUACGGGGAAUAAACAUCAUGAUAUAAAAGCACAAAUAUAAUAUGUAACAAGAUUUGAUGCUCCACAUAAGUAAAACUAUCAAAUAAGUAUUGCAAGCUUAGUUAUCAACACAUUUAUUCAGCACAUAAGGAUAAUAUCCAAGAGCUCUAGGAUGUUUCAUGUUUAGGAAUUUAAAUUAAAAAAAGACAACGAUUUGACCAUCGACUAUCUAAACGAAUGUUGCAUGGAACUAUACUAAAAGAAUCCAUUAACUUAGACAUGCUAUCUAGCUAGAUUAUAGACAUAUAGUAAAUAUAGAGUUUAAAGCUAACAAACAUAGUAUUAAAAUUACCUUUAAUUUUUUCGCAUCGUCACUUAUAAAUGAUCCAUUUUUUUUCGUGUGAGUUAGUUCGAACAUCUCAACAAGUCCAUGUACUCUGCCAGUUGUAUCUUCCUGCAAAUAUCAUAAUAUAGACAAGUAUAAGAAUGUUG
rnacentral:lncRNA from 1 species